rnacentral:lncRNA from 1 species
GAUUGCAGGUAGAGGUCUAAAAAACAUGAAAGUCGUUUUUGUAGUGUCUUCUCUUAGGUUCCGUUUUAUCUAGAUGUCAGAUCGAGGAUAUAGGUUACUUCGUUUGACUCUUUAACCCAAUUUUCCACCAGCGGAAGAACCCGAUCGAGAACGCAUCUCGACUAAACAAUAAAUAUCGACGGCAGAUGCAUAGAAAAGUAAAACUUACCUGGCCGCGGAAAGUGUCUAUCACUGCCAGAGCUACUGAUACUAUUCCUCUUUCGUCUGAUCCCAGAUGGGGACCGUCUCGUCCGGCCGUUGCCACGUACACCGCUACCAGGUGUACCGCCGCCGCCAUGGCUACUAAUCUACCGCCGCGCCCCAGAGAUAGUUUCUUCUAUUGGCCGGCCGUCGCCACGUGUCACCGCACGGUUACCUGGGACAGGUAGCCGGCCGAUCCCCACCUGAGGGAGAUGACUUUACUAGACUCGGUGGUGAGAUAAACCACCGAUACGGAAGAAAAGGAACGACUGGUUAUGAUAUGUAUACUAGAAGGCGUCUCCUCACUUCUCCUUCCUGUAAGAAUAAAGAUCGAUGAUUCCAGGUGAAAAAUAUUGUUGAAAAUGCUUUCGUUUACGUUAUCCAUUCUUCAAACAUUACCGCC